UGAGGAUGAUGCACGAGUUAUUGCUUGC
rnacentral:piRNA from 1 species